UGGCGUAGCGGCAACGCGCCUGUCUAGUGAGUAGGAGUCGUGAGUUCGAGUCUCAC
rnacentral:tRNA from 1 species